UACGAACUGUGCGAACGUUAUUCGGAAUCACUGGGCUUACAGGGUGCGUAGGCGGCUUGUUAAGUAGGGUGUGAAAGCCCCCGGCUCAACCGGGGAAUGGCGCCCUAAACUGGCGAGCUAGAGUGAGAUAGGGGUGUGUGGAACUUCCGGUGGAGCGGUGAAAUGUGUUGAUAUCGGAAGGAACGCCGGUGGCGAAAGCGACACACUGGAUCUUGCCUGACGCUGAGGCACGAAAGCCAGGGGAGCGAACGGG
rnacentral:rRNA from 1 species